rnacentral:hammerhead_ribozyme from 1 species
AUCCAGUUGACGAGUCCCAAAUAGGAAGAAACGCGCCUCCUGGAU